UCCAUCUCUACAAGACUUGUUGAGCUAUCAAACCGUCAUCGGAUCCUCCUCAUUCCCCACUCAACCAGUCAUCUAAGCAUACAGAUAGGAGAGGAAGAAGCAUCUACUAGACCAAUUGAUCACUCGGAGCAUAGACACAAAGGCGCAGACUUUGCAGCACCCUCUUUACUUUAUCCCCAAGAUCGAGUAUUCGCCCAAACCGCCUCAAGUCUCUUGUCUUCUAGUGAAUCUACGGUUUCAACAUUUUACUAUAAAUAGAUCACUUUGGGGUUUGUCCAAUCUUUGUGUUUAUGAAUCUUAAAACCUUAAUUACUCUUAAUCUAUUUUGUUUUUGCAUUUAGUUGUUUUAGUAAAGUUGUUUAGCUUGUUUAGAUCUACAUUUUGGUAUGAUUUUAGUAAUAUCUGGGUUUGUGUUCUUGAGAAUGUUGUUUGAGUAGUGAUUAGGGUUUUUGAGGAUGAAUUAGAUUAGGGUAAUCUCUAAGUUAGUUAGGUGGUUAGUGUUUAAGUUUAUACCCUUCUGGAUUCGCUUGGCCCCUAUGCGGUUUCCGCUGGCUAAUGUGGAGAUUCGAUCAUAGACGUCCAUUGUCCAAAAGACGUUCAAAUGUAUGUCUAACCUACGAAUUCUAGAGAUUUGUAGACUCGACCAAGAGAUUCGCUUGUCUGCCUAUUGGCUUUGGUAGAUUGUUUCGUAAACCCUGCUCUUCUAUGUUUCAUCAACGAGAGUUGAGAUUAGGAAGUGGUAGAGUUAUGGGGGUCUCUGUCACGAGAGUGGAUUGACCCUAUUUUUGAAUCUAUCGUCAUGGGUAUUUACCUUUCGCCUAUUAGCCAUCUGAUGAACCCUAGAGUUGCCCUUAUCAAUGAAUCCAUCCUUAGAACUUCUAUUAGAUUUAUUUGUAUCCCUUGUUGAUUGCACUUUUAUUUACCUGUUAUUUGUAUCCCCUAUUUGUAUCCCCUGUUGAUUGCAUUUAG
rnacentral:sRNA from 1 species